rnacentral:misc_RNA from 1 species
GAUGAAGAACGCAGCGAAAUGCGAUACGUAAUGUGAAUUGCAGAAUUCAGUGAAUCAUCGAAUCUUUGAACGCAUAUUGCGCUCUCUGGUAUUCCGGAGAGCAUGCUUGUUUGAGUAUCAGUAAACACCUCAACUCCCUUUUCUUUUUUGAAAUUGGAGCUGGACUUGAGUGAUCCCAACGCUUUCUUCCAAGAAAGUGGCGGGUUGCUUGAAAUGCAGGUGCAGCUGAACUUUUCUCUGAGCUAUAAGCAUAUCUAUUUAGUCUACCUAAAAAACAGAUUAUUACCUUUGCUGCAGCUAACAUAAAGGAGACUAGUUCUUGUGCUGACUGAUGCAGGAUUCACAGAGACAGCUUCGGCUGACUUUGUAAACUCGAUCUCAAAUCAAGUAAGACUACCCGCUGAACUUAAGCAUAUCAAUAAGCGGAGG